rnacentral:misc_RNA from 1 species
GAAAAAUUUAAAUACGACAAAUAAAAUAACAAAAAUUAUAUAUAUUUUAAGUUUCAGCAUAUACCAAAUAUGAAAUUCACUCAUCUAUUUAGAAUUUUUUUGCUGCAAGUUGAAUUCUAGCAUGCCAAAAAGAGAGGUUAAGAUAGCCUUAUAAAUAAAAAAUUUUUAUUCAAUGCUUAAACUGAUUUACUGUGACUCUGAGGUAGUAAUUUUUCUUUAAUAAUUCUCAUCAUUAGGCAUUUUGAGAUCUUUCACAUUCUGUUCUCGAUUCAGCAUCACUUAUUAUAACUUCUCUGAAUUUUCAGGGAAUUGGAACUUUAUUUGA